UACCAGCACCCCGAGUGGUCGGGACGAUUAUUGGGCCUAAAGCAUCCGUAGCCGGUUUUACAAGUCCUCCGUUAAAUCCACCUGCUUAACAGAUGGGCCGCGGAAGAUACUAUAGAGCUAGGAGGCGGGAGAGGCAAGCGGUACUCGAUGGGUAGGGGUAAAAUCCGUUGAUCCAUUGAAGACCACCAGUGGCGAAGGCGGCUUGCCAGAACGCGCUCGACGGUGAGGGAUGAAAGCUGGGGGAGCAAACCGGG
rnacentral:rRNA from 1 species